rnacentral:rRNA from 1 species
UACGAAGGGGGCUAGCGUUGUUCGGAAUUACUGGGCGUAAAGGGCGCGUAGGCGGUACUUCAAGUCAGGCGUGAAAGCCCCGGGCUCAACCUGGGAACCGCGCUUGAGACUGGAGAACUAGAGUUCGGGAGAGGAUGGUGGAAUUCCCAGUGUAGAGGUGAAAUUCGUAGAUAUUCGCAAGAACACCAGUGGCGAAGGCGGCUCACUGGCUCGGUACUGACGCUGAGGUGCGAAAGCGUGGGGAGCAAACAGG